rnacentral:rRNA from 1 species
GACGAACGCUGGCGGCGUGCCUAAUACAUGCAAGUCGAGCGAAGUUUUUCUGGUGCUUGCACUAGAAAAACUUAGCGGCGAACGGGUGAGUAACACGUAAAGAACCUGCCUCAUAGACGGGGACAACUAUUGGAAACGAUAGCUAAUACCGGAUAACAGCAUAAAUCGCAUGAUAUAUGUUUAAAAGUUGGUUUCGGCUAACACUAUGAGAUGGCUUUGCGGUGCAUUAGCUAGUUGGUGGGGUAAAGGCCUACCAAGGCGACGAUGCAUAGCCGACCUGAGAGGGUGAUCGGCCACACUGGGACUGAGACACGGCCCAGACUCCUACGGGAGGCAGCAGUAGGGAAUCUUCCGCAAUGGGCGAAAGCCUGACGGAGCAACGCCGCGUGAGUGAAGAAGGAUUUCGGUUCGUAAAGCUCUGUUGUUAGGGAAGAAUGAUUGUAUAGUAACUAUAUACAGUAGAGACGGUACCUAACCAGAAAGCCACGGCUAACUACGUGCCAGCAGCCGCGGUAAU